rnacentral:rRNA from 1 species
CAUACUAAGAACUUUCCAGAGAUGGAUUGGUGCCUUCGGGAACUUAGAUACAGGUGCUGCAUGGCUGUCGUCAGCUCGUGUCGUGAGAUGUUGGGUUAACGUCCGCAACGAGCGCAACCCUUUUCCUUAUUUGCCAGCGGGUAAUGCCGGGAACUUUAAGGAUACUGCCAGUGACAAACUGGAGGAAGGCGGGGACGACGUCAAGUCAUCAUGGCCCUUACGGCCAGGGCUACACACGUGCUACAAUGGUCGGUACAAAGGGUUGCUACCUCGCGAGAGGAUGCUAAUCUCAAAAAGCCGAUCGUAGUCCGGAUCGCAGUCUGCAACUCGACUGCGUGAAGUCGGAAUCGCUAGUAAUCGCGGAUCAGAAUGCCGCGGUGAAUACGUUCCCGGGCCUUGUACACACCGCCCGUCACACCAUGGGAGUUUGUUGCACCAGAAGUAGGUAGUCUAACCGCAAGGAGGACGCUUACCACGGUGUGGCCGAUGACUGGGGUGAAGUCGUAACAAGGUAGGCGUAGAUGA